rnacentral:rRNA from 1 species
UUGCCUUUGAAACUGGUAGUCUUGAAUUAUUAUGAAGUGGUUAGAAUAAGUAGUGUAGCGGUGAAAUGCAUAGAUAUUACUUAGAAUACCAAUUGCGAAGGCAGAUCACUAAUAAUAUAUUGACGCUGAGGGACGAAAGCGUGGGGAGCGAACAGGAUUAGAUACCCUGGUAGUCCACGCCGUAAACGAUGGAUACUAGCUGUUCGGAUUUAUCUGAGUGGCUAAGCGAAAGUGAUAAGUAUCCCACCUGGGGAGUACGUUCGCAAGAAUGAAACUCAAAGGAAUUGACGGGGGCCCGCACAAGCGGUGGAGCAUGUGGUUUAAUUCGAUGA